CUCACGGGAUAGCCUGCCCUCCUGACCUCAUGGGAUAGCCUGUCCUCCUGACCAACCCUAGCCCAGGGAAGGAUCAAAAUUCAAUAUUCAAAGCAUCAUGUAGUCAAGAUACCAUGAGUUGAACCGUUGUAAGUCAGGCUCUCUCUCUCUCUCUCCGUCUGUACACCCAUUGGUUCUGUUUUUCUGGAGAGUCCUGACUAAUUCAGAUUGUUUGCCUUUUUUUAGUUGAGUGGUAGACAUUCUUCAUCUAUUCAGCAGAUGACGCCCUCACCAGAGAGGUGACUUGCACAAACUUUCAAGCCUUGGAGAAGACGGAAGGCUGGAGGAGCAGUGAGCUAGCAGUGGGUGGGGACUGAAAGAAGCACAGAACACCAAGCAGCACCCCCACCCCCCAAAGGGAGCUUCAGAAGAGCAGCCCAUCGUGUUUGUUUAUCGUCAAUCCCACUGUGCCGGACACUAGGUUCAGUUCUCAUUCUGGUUUCCGUUCACGUCUCACUGGGCAAUGACUGGGGCCCAGCAGCUGUGUUCCGGGGUCUCCGUUUCCGCCCCUGUGUGCCAGGGGUCAUAAGGAUCCUCCUGCCUGAACAACACAGCUGAAGCCGCUGACCUUGAGCCACAAGUCCAGCGCCCAACCCUCAGAUGUUUCAGGCACAUACAGACCUCCUCCGUCCUCCUGGGAGCAGCAUCCCUGGAGCUCAGGGUCCAGGCUGCCUAGGUCACACCUAGCUGGACCAAUGCCGGACAUGCAUGGGCAGAGAGCACCAGGUUCUGUACCACACCUGGAGGGGCCUCCAGGUUUCUCGCUACACCUGGAUACUAGCUGCACCUGGUUGACUCUUCCUGGCCUGCUGUCUCAGUGGAUCAGGGUUGGGAGCGGGGAGCUCACCUCGGGAAGCCCCUGGUGUCACCUGAGUGACGCAAGCACCUAAGACCCCAAGGUGCUCGGCUGGGUCAGGCACAGAAGGCACUCGGGAACUACUUGUCAUGUGAAAGCUGUCACCAUCAAAAUGGCAUUGCUUGUGUCAACCUUCGACAACAAAGGUGGAAGGGUAAGAGGGAAGCGUUCUUCCCCUCAAUUGCCUGGAAGUAACAGUCACUGCAGAUGCCAUAGUGGCCUCCGUGCAGGCCUCCCAUGAGAUGCACAUCCACGCGGACCUCUGCUCAGCAGCUGUCUGGUCAACCUCAGACUGAUGUCACCUAGCUAUUAGUCAUUGUGGCCAAAGGUUUAUGUUUCAAAAUAUCUGAUGUAAUUCCCCUUGGUUCUGCCUUUAAGACCUUUCCCCGGUCCCCACCGUUUUGGAUGCACCCCAGUUUCCUAAGGCACCUGCAUCCCCACCACAGUUGUCUGAUUCUCACAUUGCAAACCUUUUCCCAAAUAAAACUGAUUUUACUUCA